AUUGAACGCUGGCGGCAUGCCUUACACAUGCAAGUCGAACGGUAACAGGUCUUCGGAUGCUGACGAGUGGCGAACGGGUGAGUAAUACAUCGGAACGUGCCCGAUCGUGGGGGAUAACGAAGCGAAAGCUUUGCUAAUACCGCAUAAGAUCUACGGAUGAAAGCAGGGGACCGCAAGGCCUUGCGCGAACGGAGCGGCCGAUGGCAGAUUAGGUAGUUGGUGGGAUAAAAGCUUACCAAGCCGACGAUCUGUAGCUGGUCUGAGAGGACGACCAGCCACACUGGGACUGAGACACGGCCCAGACUCCUACGGGAGGCAGCAGAGGGGAAUUUUGGACAAUGGGCGAAAGCCUGAUCCAGCCAUGCCGCGUGCAGGAUGAAGGCCUUCGGGUUGUAAACUGCUUUUGUACGGAACGAAAAGACUCUGGUUAAUACCUGGGGUCCAUGACGGUACCGUAAGAAUAAGCACCGACUAACUACGUGCCAGCAGCCGCCGUAA
rnacentral:rRNA from 1 species